AGACAUGCAAAAGAAAGCACCAACUACUUGAUGUGACCUGGAAAUGGAGACCAGACAAUGUGAAUCCCAGCAAAGCUGUCCACAGGAAGCCAUCCCAGUGUGCUCCCACCAACACAGAACUCACCAUAACAAGUCAUUGUCCAGCACAGGCCCCUGGAACUGGGCUGCAUGGUUAGAGCUAUCUCCGCGUCCUUUGGCCUUCCCCUGGAGGAGACAGAGGAUAAGUGAUAGUGCAGUCAUUCACAUGGAGCUGAGAGCAAUUCUGAAGGCUCUCUGAGUCUCGGAGAGCGGCGUAAUUGUCUACUUACUAUUUGAAGAUGACCUCACCAACAGCGCUGAAGACCUGCAGCUGCGAGGGGUCUGUGGCAAGGUCCUGUCUGCUGGCCUGGUGUGUCAAUGUACUGUUCUCGGGCUGCCUGUCACAGUAUACCAGGUCCCUUUCUUGGCAGGUGUUCUGCAGUCAUUACACAGGGGCUGAGUCAGCACAGCUGUUAUGUGUACUGAAGAUCUGUGAGCCUCGGGUAGCUGCUGUCCCUCUGCAAAGCUGGGUGCAGUUGAAGAUUCGCAAUGGAUCUUUAAAAUGGAUUCAGUGCUGCUAUAUGCAGCAUCUCUCUUGGUGUUUGAAUCAUUCAGCAUAUAACCCCAGCAUUAGACUUUUUAAAAUGAAAUUCUUCUUGGUCACCUUAAAGCUCCAUCAAUCAUUUAGUAAUGGAAAAAAAGACAGCGUAAUGAUCUGCUUUGAAAAUAAACUCUAUAACUGACUUUGGCAUCGAGAGCCUAUUAUCAUGCGGUAACAUCAUUCUAUUCCAAUGACAUUAUCUGCUAAGGAUAUUAUGACGGUGGAAAAUAUUUCAGCUUUGCUAUUGGAACAAUGAAGCUGUGAUAUUUAAUUAUAGAGAAGUAUGUCUAAUUUGGGGAAUCUGGUAUGUCAAUGGUCACAGUUUACUCCUUCCUCAGAGCGCUCAGCACUGGUAAUCAAAUGUGAACACAGUAUGAUUUAGUGAUCCACACAAGUUAUUGGCUCAGUACUUUUUCUUACUUUCUCAAAUCCUUUCUUUUGCAUUUUAAUUCUUCCAUUAAGUUUGCUGAUUAACUACUAAUUAAUUAUGAACUCACCCAGUACACUGCAGGACUAGGUAACAGAGGAGGGCCAGGAGGUGGAGAAUAGCAUAUCUGGCCAGUUUUUACUUUGGCAACUGAGAUCCAUCUGAAUGAAACAGCAGGAAAAGUGCUUCCAAGGUAACAUGCUAGCAAAUAAAGGGAACUUCUCUCUG